AGGAGUCGUAUGAGGUGAAAAUCUCAUGUACGGUUCUGUAGAGUGGAAGUAAGUGUGACUUAUCUAUCAACUUUUCC
rnacentral:ncRNA from 1 species